AGUGGAAAUGCUGAGUCAUAUGGUAAUCAUAUGUUUAACUUUUUGAGGAACCACCAUUCUACUUUUCACAGCAGCUGUGCCAUUUGAUAUUCCCAUCAGCAAU
rnacentral:pre_miRNA from 1 species